rnacentral:rRNA from 1 species
UAACGCGUGAGGAACCUGCCUCAAAGAGGGGGACAACAGUUGGAAACGACUGCUAAUACCGCAUAAGCCCACAGGUCGGCAUCGACCAGAGGGAAAAGGAGCAAUCCGCUUUGAGAUGGCCUCGCGUCCGAUUAGCUAGUUGGUGAGGUAAUGGCCCACCAAGGCGACGAUCGGUAGCCGGACUGAGAGGUUGAACGGCCACAUUGGGACUGAGACACGGCCCAGACUCCUACGGGAGGCAGCAGUGGGGAAUAUUGCACAAUGGGGGAAACCCUGAUGCAGCGACGCCGCGUGGAGGAAGAAGGUCUUCGGAUUGUAAACUCCUGUUGUUGAGGAAGAUAAUGACGGUACUCAACAAGGAAGUGACGGCUAACUACGUGCCAGCAGCCGCGGUAAAACGUAGGUCACAAGCGUUGUCCGGAAUUACUGGGUGUAAAGGGAGCGCA